AUGAGACCCAAGAGUGUCAUGACGGAAUGCGCCGUCACCGUGUGAUUCGGAUUAAACCUUCGUAGGGCUAGCAACAGGGCAGCGCGUCGAGGAUCCGAAAUUCAAGCCUUCAUAGUCAGUGUCUAGCUGCAGUCCCAGCACUCACUGUUUGAAAGCACCGGAGAGAAACUUCUCGAAAAGAAUGUGACAAGCUGGCCAAUUGAAUAGGAAGAUAUGUCACGGAGUACUGCCCCUAUAUAUAGGACCUUCCACCACCACCUGGGAUAUGGAUGCCUGAUGAAGACUUUAGGGCCAAAAUGUUGUCAUAAAUAAAUAUCACCUGGGAGCAUGA